AACGAACGCUGGCGGCGUGCCUAACACAUGCAAGUCGUACGAGAAUGGGGGAGCAAUCUCCCUAGUAAAGUGGCGAACGGGUGAGUAACACACAGGUGAUCUCCCUUCCUGAUUGGUAUAGCCCCGCGAAAGCGGGGCUAAUCCCGAGUACGCCCCCAUCUUCAGUGGUGGGGGGAAAGCCGGCCUCUAUUUAUAAGCUGGCGCGGGAAGUUGAGCCUGUGGCCCAUCAGCUAGUUGGUAGGGUAACGGCCUACCAAGGCUAAGACGGGUAGCUGGUCUUAGAGGACGAUAAGCCACACUGGAACUGAAACACGGUCCAGACUCCUACGGGAGGCAGCAGUGGGGAAUAUUGCGCAAUGGGCGAAAGCCUGACGCAGCGACGCCGCGUGCGGGAAGAAGGCCUUCGGGUUGUAAACCGCUUUCAGGAGGGACGAAGCCACUCGGGUGAACAGCCCAGAGGGUGACGGUACCUCCAGAAGAAGCCCCGGCUAACUACGUGCCAGCAGCCGCCGUAAGAC
rnacentral:rRNA from 1 species